CACUAUAUAUUUUUUUUUCCAACAGCAAUCGCUCAGUACCUAUUCCCCAGAUGAAUGCAUUUCUUUACCAGUCUACACCAGCGCAGAAAGAGACCGUGUAGUGACAAAUAUUGAUGUCCCUUGUGGAAGAAUGAAAAACCAGUGGAUUCAGUGUGGGGCUGCAUUAUUUCUAAAAAAUCAAUAAGGUGGUGCGAGCGUGAAUGUAAAUUCUAUCUCUUUGCUUGUGUUUUGUACAUACACAUAUAGGUUUUGUUGUAAACUAUAAUUUGUGUACUGCUCUUUUGCAUUCUCAGGUCCGUGGAUAAAAUAAACUAUUCUUUAAUGGCAAGUUCACGUCUUGUUAUUUUGUGAUCUAAUAAAGCAGUGUUUCCCAACCCAGUCCUCAAGGCACACCUACCAGUCCAGGAUUUAGGGAUU